GAAAGGCGCUGGGCGAAAGUCCCCGGGUACCGACGCAGAGAGUGCGAGCCCGCAAGGGCCGGACCCCCAGACGCGGCGCGCGGGCGAAGAGGCUCCUUCGGGGGCGGAGCCGACGGCGUAGCCUGCUCUGGGGCUGCUCACCCAAGCACAGUUAUGCAGCCAGCGGGGAGACAACCCGCUCACUCAACGGGGCUUA
rnacentral:RNase_MRP_RNA from 16 species